rnacentral:misc_RNA from 1 species
CAAAGGAAAACUUGUUUCAGAUGAAACACACUCCCGAGAGUGAUCACCCAUCAGCAACCGCAGGGCCUCUCGCGCCAAAGGAACAAACUGGUAAUCCACAAAGAAGACUUUAGCUUCAGAGUGGCGGAGAAUGGUGGCUAUGGUCUUAGCAUCAAGCCUAGUGUUGAUGGUGUUGAGGACAGCUCCUGCCAUGGGAACUGCAAAGUGCAUCUCAUACAUAGCUGGAACAUUUGGAGCCAGCACCGACACAACAUUGUUUUUGACAAUGUUCAGGGAGCGGAGAGAAGCGGCGAGACGGCGGCUGCGGUGGUACGUUUGCCACCACGUGAAACGAGUACCCUCAUAGAUAACAGAGGUGCGGUUGGCAUAAACCUCAGCAGCUCUCUUAAAGAAUGUUAAAGGGGUGAGAGGAACAUAAUUUGCAUCACAUUUUGGUAGCAAAU